GCCCUUCGAGGUGCUGCCGUCGCCGCCCGACCUGCGCCUUCGCGCCACUUCGCGCCCUCGGGCGAGGCCGAGGGGGUGGGGACGACCCCCGCCGCGUAGCCGCGGCUCUCGCUCCUCGCGAAGCCCCUUGGCGGGGCGGGCCGGCCGGCCGGCCGCACCCCCGGCCUGGGGCCUCCGGUCGUAGUAAAGCGGAGGCGGGUGGGGAGGCGGGAGCGAGAGCCCGCGGCGGGCGAGGCGAAGAUGGUGGCGGCUACUCCUCCUGUCAUACACGUGGACCUAACUGCACCAAAAGCUUUUCUAAGGACACUUGGCUGAGAAGAAAGUUUUCCCUAGUGGGUAAGUGUGUUCUAAUUUUUUUGUUAACUUUUCUUUAAAACAAUUUUUUUUUACUUUAAUCUUUUAUUUCAGUAAAUAGAUUGGGUUUUCAAAGAGUGAAAUAGGUAUCUUGUACUUUGUCCAUUUACCUUUUCUAGGAAAUUAACUCAGUGUGGGUCAGCUAAUUUUUAAGUUAGUAAGAGUACAAUGCAAAUACCAUAUAAGUUUUUGGAAAUUGAUGUACGGUUUACAAAAUGUAAUUUUAAAACUGCUUUAAGUUGAGUGAUAGAUCUGUUUUGGAGUAAGUUUUCAAGAUUCAAAGAAAUUUAAACAGGAUGUUUAAGUUCUAUAACCAGCUAAUACACUUGAAAUGUAGUCUGAACAGUAAUUUUGUUAAUUUGCUAAGUAUUUGCUAAUUGGAAGCCAGAAGAAAAGAAAAAUGUUUUGCCACGUGGAUGUGAAGAAUCCCUCUAAAAGGUACAUGAAUCAAAUUGCCCUGUUCAUCUAUUAAUUCUCAUUCAUAUGCAGUCUUAUCUUGAUUGAUUGAAAAAAAAAAUUUUUUUGAGUAUGUCUGGGAACCUCCAGGUAAAAGAAGAGCCAUCAGUUUCUCUGACAGUAUUAGAUUGAUGGUUAAGAUUGUCUUGUGAAAAAGAUUUUUCUAAUACUUUUAAGGUCUAAGUGUGCUUGUGAAUGAAACUUACAGGUUUGAGAUAAUUAAAUUCAUUUUCUCUUCCCCAUUAGGGACUAUGCUGAAUUUUGUAUGUUUUAUAGCUCUUAAGAGUUGGAGGUGUUAUUUCUAAUUAUUUAUUUCAAAUUUAGCAGGAAUAAAGAGACCAUCACCUUGUAAGACUGAAGAUUGUGACCAGUCAGAAUAAUGUCAAAGUGCUUACAGUGCAGGUAGUGAUAUGUGCAUCUACUGCAGUGAAGGCACUUGUAGCAUUAUGGUGACAGCUGCCUCGGGAAGCCAAGGUGGGCUUGAAAGUGCAGGGCCUGCUGGUGUUGAGUGCUUUUUGUUCUAAGGUGCAUCUAGUGCAGAUAGUGAAGUAGAUUAGCAUCUACUGCCCUAAGUGCUCCUUCUGGCAUAAGAAGUUAUGUUUUCAUCCAAUAAUCCAAGCCAAGCAAGUAUAUAGGUGUUUUAAUACUUUUUGUUUGCAGUCCUCUGUUAGUUUUGCAUAGUUGCACUACAAGAAGAAUGUAGUUGUGCAAAUCUAUGCAAAACUGAUGGUGGCCUGCUAUUUCCUUCAAGUGAUUUUUUUUUUUUUUUUUUUUACUAAUUUUGUGUACUUUUAUUGUGUCGAUGUAGAAUCUGCCUGGUGUAUGUGAUGUGACAGCUUCUGUAGCACUAAAGUGCUUAUAGUGCAGGUAGUGUUUAGUUAUCUACUGCAUUAUGAGCACUUAAAGUACUGCGAGCUGUAGAACUCCAGCUCCGGCCUGUCGCCCAGUCAAACUAUCCAGUUACUGAACACUGUUCUAUGGUUAGUUUUGCAGGUUUGCAUCCAGCUGUGUGAUAUUCUGCUGUGCAAAUCCAUGCAAAACUGACUGUGGUAGUGAAAAGUCUGUAGAAAAGUAAGGGAAAAUCAAACCCCUUUCUACACAGGUUGGGAUCGGUUGCAAUGCUGUGUUUCUGUAUGGUAUUGCACUUGUCCCGGCCUGUUGAGUUUGGUGGGGAUUGUGACCAGAAGAUUUUGAAAAUUAAGUAUUACUGAAGAUUCGACUUCCACUUUAAUAUGUUCCAGAAAUGUAAAGUAUUAAAAAAAGCUUUGUAAUUUUAAUUUUUUUGUCAGUGUGAAGUUCAUAGAUACAACUCUUUGUUCUUUAAAAUGAAGUUUUGUCAUAAUUUUGUGCUAAAAUACUCCACCUCUGAAGUUGCAUGUCAGAUUUGAUUAUAAGUUUUUACUAUAUUCAUCUAAUUAGGUUAAUAUUAAGUAUUUAAUUAUAAUUGUGAGGAAAAUUUAUUUUAAUACUAUGAUAAUUUGUAAAGUUAGGAUAUUUUUGCUUUUCUGGAGCUGGUAUUCACAAUGUCUUAAUCUUAAAGUUAAUAAAUUGUGUUACUUGUACAUUAUUUAAAUUUGGUGAAAGUAUUCUGUUUAUUGCAAUGUAUAAAAAAAGUUGUGGGGUUUGGUUGGUGGUUUUUAAGCAUGUUAACUUACAUUUGGGAGGGGAGGUUGUCUUUUGUUUCUAGUAAACAAAUACUGUUUUACCGGUACUAGUGUUCUUAAUGUGUAAAACUGUUAACUGGUUAUGUACUAGUUUGCUUAGUAAUUUAUGCUGUAUAAACUGUUCCGUGAUCCUUAGACUGUCCUUAGCUUUCUGGAACUUAAAAUAUAGGAGUUAAAAAGAUAAUAAGACACACUGGUGCUAAAUGGAGUGACAAGUAUAUGUGUACAUGUCUCUAAUGCCAAGAGUGUAGUUGGGUGGGAGUCUGAAAUUAGUUUUUCUUUAAGUCUGUACUACUGUUAACAUUCCUUCUCCCUUCAUAAACCAGACUUUUGCAACAAUGAUAGUUAGUCUAGGCUUCCGUGACUUUGUCACUGGAGUGGAACCUUAAGCAAUGGCAGUUACACAGUAUUUUAUCCAAUAUUUCUGCUUCUUUCAUGUGUCUUGUGUCUAGUCUGUGUCUCACCUGUAUAGAAAAAUGUGGGUUAACUUGAGAAUAAUCAGAUUUUAUAGGGUCCGUUGUUAAAAUUGGAUCCAAGCUGAAUUUUGGAGGAAAGCUGUUAUCUUAGUAAUAUGGAGUAAAUUUUCUAUAGCUUAUUAUACCAAUUGGUAAAUUUAGAAGACGUCUUACCUUUUUAAAAUCAAUUACGUAAAGUCUAACAUGGAAAGUUUAAUCAUGGAUCCCUGAAUAGAAAGGUAAGAGUUUCUUAGUUCUGGAGUUGAUUAUUAAAAGGUAAUUUUUCAGAGAGAGAAAAUAUUAAGAAUUAUGCGAUGAUUUAUACAAUGGAGAUGUAAUUGUCUUUUAGUUUGAGUUCCUAAGCCUUUUGAAUUGAAGAAAAUCUUGAAAUGGUUUUGUUUUGAUAUUUAAUGACAAAUACUGCUUUGAACUAAAUGUUCUCAAAGUCCCAUAAUACUAGCAUGGCUGAUCGUAGUCUGUAGAAAUGGGGUGUGAUGGUGAUUAGUGGAAAAAGGUGUUUACAUCUACCAAACCAUAUAAUUUCAUUUUAAAGCUUUUGAGGGGGGAAAUAUACUAGCAUUACUGUUUGAAGUAGAACAGUGAUAGGAAGCUUUUCUACAGGAUUUCUUUAUAUGCUAAACUGUCAGAUUUUAAUAAAACCCUAAAUGGUUAAUUAACUUUUUCUCCCUAGAUGCUUGAACCUUUGUAGUACUUGUUCAGAACUCAAUUGGACUUAACUACACUUCACGUCUAGUAAACAAGUUAAUAGAUGUGAAUGUUUUCUUAUGGGGUUGGCAGUAGGGCUGAGGUUGUCAAGGGUUCACUAGGAAUUGAAUUUUAUGUUUCUGGUUUUAAAAUGUGUGGCAAAGUUUACAUUCUUGAUUCUGUUAAGAUUUUCUUAGACAAGACAGUUGAGUUUUCGAGUAGCGCUAACACAAAGCCAUGCAAAUAUAAUUAGUCAUUUUGAUAUAAAAAUAAGUUGAACACGUUCAUUGUAGCUCCUAAUUGCCUGCCUCUUCUCUAAUUGUCCUGGGGGAGAAAGCUCUAACCUUUUUUGUGUUUCAACCUUAAAAGUGUUUAAGACUUUUAGGGUGCUGUUGCUCCUGGUUUGAUAGCCUUAAGACUAUUUUUAGGAAGAAAUAAGUCUUUAUAUUUUUUUUGCAUAUUCUGCAUGUAUGAUUCUUAGUCUGUGUUAAAAGGAAAGCACUUAACAGCUCUACAAAUUAUUUUUCAAAACUGCUUGCAAAGUGUAGUGAUUUUACUAAAAACUUUUGAGAUCUUCAUUUUACAGGCAAACCUGUCUAAGCAGAACAAGCCAGACUUGGGUUUUCCCCUGUAGCUUGAAGAACCCUACAGAAUGAUUCCUGACAAAAUGCAACCUGCAAUUGCCUGGAGAACAAUUCAGUGUUACAUUCAAGUUAAUUAUGUAUUUAAUGAAAUACUGUUCUGUUAGUAAUUGACAACCAAGAUUGUCUAUCAUUAGAAAAUUAGCCUCUUUUAGCUGAGUAGUAAAGGUAAGGAGAGCAUAAGUAUACAGGCCAGUAUUUCGUGUCCAACUAAAAAUAAGAUUAUCAUGUCUACUUGAGUCUUGGCGGCAGGUUAUUCUUUGCCUGAGAGGUGGUUUAGCUUACACUGUUUUUUAAAAAGUCUGAAUUAAUGUAGCUUUCUGUUGAUAAAUUCAGUUCCUGAUGUAAUAGUCCUCAUGAGUUUUAAAGGAUAACUAAGAUGGAUGUAUCCCAUGAUUUUAAGACCACAGGAAAAUUGUUUAAAAAAAAAAAAAGGCUUAGUUUUCUUUUUCCAGUAAUUUAAACAGGCACAGCAUUCAGACAGGCCUACUUAUAUGUAUGUGCAAUUUAGUCAUGCUGUUUGAGUUGUUUUGGUGCAUUUAAUGUAAAUAAAUAAAAUUACAUAUUUUAAGACUGUUUGUUAAGAAAUUGUCCAGAAUAAGCAUAUUAAAAUAAAAAUUUUAAGGUUGUUUUUAGUUGUGGCACUUUUUCUGGUGUUUUUUGUUACUAUAAAUGAUCCAAACAUCUUUGCUUAUCAAUUUGAGGUAGUUGGGAAGUGGGGACAGGUACUGAAGUGAUUUAUUACAUGAAUUAUUUUAGUUAUCUUUGGCAUCAGCAUUUGUAUCUUAAUUUUACAGAUGAAGUGAGAUCAGGAGUAUUGGAUAUAAAACGUAAAUGGGCUCUUGAUUAAAACCCAUGUCAAAAAUUAGUCUAUAAAAAGUUAUUCUCUUAUCUUGAAUCUGACAAAUGUUUAAAUCACAUUUGAAUUUACUUGAUUUGGAAAUUUGGGUUCUUGGUAUUUUAACUUAAAAUGUGAUAAGGGCUCCAAGAAUAAGUUUGUGUGAUUUUUUUUUUUUUUUUUUUUUUAAUAACAGACCAUAGGCACUUAAAAUCCAGCCAGUUUAGAUAUUAUUAAGUAUGAAGCAUCUUCACUUUGAUCUUUAACCUAUUGAUACAUUGAAGUUUAAGGGGAAACCAAAGUGUGUGAAGUCCUAAACAACUGCUUUUAGUAAAGAUCUAAAUAUUUGGUUAUAAGGUUGAAUGUUUUUUAAUGGAUUUGUACUGUAUUUUUAAAAUAAGAUGAAAAUUAAGGUUUUUAAGAUACUUUGUGGCCAGUAAAGCAACUCUAAAGGCAACAAUCCCAGCCCUGUGCAGUUUUGAGUACUUUGAAAAAUAAUUACAUGCCAAUAUAAAUAUGGGUUUAGUCAUUAAUAGGGCAAGUAUUUAUGGUAUAGAGGUAAAAAACAGAAACCUGAGGUUCGUAGCAAGUGAUGCCAAACCAAAUAUUCAGUGAAGUGUCUCCAUUAUUAAUUGCAUGCCUAAAUUUAAGAAUAUGUACACUUACUGGGAAAUGAGCAUGUAUCUUUACAUGCUUAUUUAUAAAAAGUAUAUACACAAUGAAAUUGCUAUAAUGUAAUGUUGACUUCAAUUAGACUAAGGCAUUGAAAGGUUAAAUUCCACUGAUAGACUUUAAAGGAGUCCUCCUCCUAUACUUGUUUGAGAUAUAAUCUAUGUGGGAAUACCAACAGAUAGGGUAAGCUGGGACUUAAUGUUGGCAAGACUAGAUGAAAAUUAUCUCUAUUCAGGUAGAGUUGUAUGCUGCUUGAACCACUAGGUACCUUACAAGGCCAAUUAAAUUCCUCAACAAAGUCAAGAAUGCAAAGGCCACGUUCAGGGAAUACCACUGCUGGAAUCUAGAGUGGUUAUACAUUUACAAGAUAAGGUUCUUAACCACAGUUGGGCAUUAUAAUUACCCAAAGAUACUUUUCAAAAUACAAAGUCGUAGAACUUUAAUUCAGGUGCAUAAGAAUGAAUCCAGAAAGUGAGUAGAGCUGGAUGCUAGGAAGACAAGCAUUUUGAGGAAUUGGUUAAUUUUGAACUAUGUGUUUUAAGAAUAUACUUACCUAAAUUGUCCAAAAUGAUGAGCCUUAUGAAUGCAGCCGAAGUGGUACUUUGGAAUUUGUGGAGGUGGAAUGCUGAAUAGGAAAAGAGAAUACAUGUUUUGUGUUUCAUAUACUUCGUUUUGUGACUGUUUUGCUUUGCAUAAACUUUUUAGCUAGUGCCAACCUUAAAUCUGCUUCUGAAUCCACAGGCUUUUCCUUUCUCCCAACUUUAUGUAGUAAAUAGUAACCCCUUUCUGCUCCAGUGAUAGGCCAACAGUGUAAUUGUGCUGGACAUGGAUCUCCUUGGAGUUUGAAAUUUGUGGUCACACUGGUCUAUAGGUCAUUCUGGACAAAUGAUUUUCUAGCCCUCCAAAGAAUUGUCCAAUUUGCACCAUCUCAUGUUCUUUGAUAUUUAAAUUUCUAAUUUUAAAUAGAAAGGAUGUAGUUUCUGCCAUGUUCUGAAUAUUUCUGAGCUGAUUCUGCCCUUGCCUGUAUUGUUGAUGAUAGUAUAGAUGAUUUAUUUUAAAAUCUGGAAUGUGAUUAGCCCCCCAGCUCACUCAUUAAUCCUCUGUACAAGACCUUAAACUGGGGUGCCUGGGUGGCUCAGUUGGUUAAGCGACUGCCUUCGGCUCAGGUCAUGAUCCUGGAGUCCCGGGAUUGAGUCCCUCAUCGGGCUCCCUGCCCAGUGGGGAGUCUGCUUCUCCCUCUGACCCUCCCCUCUCUCAUGCUCUCUGUCUCAUUCUCUCUCUCAAAUAAAUAAAUAAAAUCUUAAAAAAAAAAAAAGACCUUAAACUGUUCUGCUUCCACUCAGCUCCCCAGGCUGACUUUUUCUUCAUGGACUUUGCCCUUGUUCUUCCCUUAGCUUGGAAAAACUACCCCCUCAGCUAUGUGAUCUAAUCCUGUUUCUGGUCUGCACAAGUACCAAAUCAAACUAGUUCUUUAAACUGCAUACUCUUCCUUCUCUAGGUCACUUUUCCUAAUAGAGGACUAGUGGUUUCACUUGGGAUCUUGUUAGAAUGCAGGAUCUGAGGACCUUCCCCGAACCUGAAUUAGCAACUUCGCUUUAAAAUCCUGUCCCUACUCCCUUCCUGGAUGUUACGUGAAGGUAGGGAUUUGAAAGUGGUUCAUUGAUGCAUAAUCAACACCUGAAACAGUACUCACUCAGCACAUAGAAGGUACUUAAGUCUUGCAGGAAUGAGUGGAAGUGCCCACAGGUGAAUAUGACUGCUUCAAAGAGACUGGGUCAGUGGAAGUUAACAGAAAACCAAACACCUUGGUCUUUUAUAGUACAUAUGGGACUUAGGAAAGGUGUAAUCAUUGUAAAGUACAUUAGUGAUAAUCUAUCAAAUAUCUGGCAGAAGGGAUUUGAGUAGUGUUGGUGAGUAGGAGACGUAACUAAUUUACAGUAGUAAUCAUCCAGCAAGAAAGCUGGAAGUUGGAAGCUUCAGGAGAAUAGAAAACCUGCCCUUCUAUGUUCCAUUUGUGUGGCAGUGUUUUGGUGCUGUUGGAAGUAAAUGUUGAACUUGACGCCGCUCUCACAAAAUGAGCAACUGACAUUCAGACUACCAGGGUAAAGGGGUGUACUCGCCACACUGGUACCGAGGAAGGUAAGCUUGAUGUGAGGCUGUGUUUAGUGGCAGGUUCUCAACGUGAUUUUGUUGCCUGAAUGAAGUAAGGCUCUAUCUUGUAGUAUCUUCUUUUAUCUCUGUUCUCUGUUCAGUUUCAAACCCCCUCCCCACUUUUUUGGUUAUCAAGCAAUUCAGCAUUCUUAAAAUGUCACAGUGCCUACCAAAAUACCAUAUGGUGUUCUAACUUUUAAGUUUCACUGCUAGCACAAGGUACCAGGAAUACAAAGGCGGCCUACACUGGUAUACUGGGCCUUGAUGAAAUUCGGAAUUGUCUUUGACGCCCUGGGACAAAUCAGUAAAACCAAUACGCCUCAGGAAUAUUCUUUGUGGUGUAAGGAAAGGUUCAUAGUAAAGAAGUUAAGGAAGGAAAACCCGGUACCUUCACAGGUUAAUUUUAGGGAACGAUAUACGGAAAUUACUAUGACAAUUUUUAUUUCCUCAAAACUACACAUCUGUGUAGUUGAACUAGUCUGGGCCCCAGGAAUGUGCAGAGUCCAAUUUGAAGACUGUUAGAAGUCACCACGUGGUACUGGCUAUAGCUGGCUGAGAAAUUUAAGGAACUACUUAAAAAGAGUCCUAGAGAAGUGUUUAAGAGGGAAACUUCCUGGUUCAAGUACCACCUCCCCCCGUUAGUAACUUAGGCAAAUUUGUUUUUAGCUUUUCCGCCUUGAUCAGGAAGAUAAAUAGGUGUCACGGCGGUUAUGGGUUUACAUCCAGCAAAAAAUAAAUGCAUUUGCCCCAACUUCAAAGUGGUUUUAAGCUUUGCUUGGCUUGGACAAGUUUGGGUGUCAGACCCACUUGAAAUAAUAGGAGGGAUAAAAUGUUCAGGCCCGGUCCUUUUGCGACAUCUUUAUCAGCAGCGACAGUGACAGCACGCAGGCUAUCUAGCUGGGUGGUGGGUGGAUAAGGGAAAAAGGAUGGUGACACGACACUGAGGGGGGAGGAAUACGUCCUGGCUGCCGCCAAACAGCGUGAUUUCAGUGAACGGAGGGGUGGGAGAAGGAAGGCAGAGAAUUUUCAGAUAAGCUGACAAUUUGAGCACAUUUCAAAGAGGUAGAUGUUCAUUACCAGGCCUAAGAUGCCUUUCACGUGCAUGUGGCAUGGCUGAUUGAGCUGCUUCUAGGUCUCAUAUUAUGUCACCUGAAGAGGCCUUCAUUACCCUACUUGGGUCUCUCUCACUUGAUAGUUCAAAGCACAGCACAAAUUUUCUUACGGUUCUGUAAGUCAGGGGUCUCAGCACAGGUCUCACUAGGUUAAAAUUAAGGUGUUGGCAGGGCUGUAUUUCUGGAGGCUGUGGGAGAGGAUCCAUUGCCUUUUCCUGCUUCGCAUUCCUUGCUUCACAGACCCUUUCUCCAUCUCCAAUCCAGCAGCCAUGGGUUGAGUUCGCAUGUCACAUUAUUCUGACCUCUGCCAUCAAGUCUCUGACCUCUUGAGGCCUCCCUCUUACACUUUUAAGGACUCUGGUGAUUUAAGGAUAUUCAACCCACCCAGCUAUUCCAAAAUAAUCUAAAGUUAGCUGAUGAGCAGCCUUAACUCUCUUUUACCAUGUAAACUCUUUUGGCAGGUUCCAGGGAUUAGGGCAGGGAUAUUUUGGGGGGUCAUUUUGCCUACUAUGUGUCCCCUUCCUAUGAAAUCAUGUCACUUUUGGACAUGGUUAUAGUCCCAGGCCUGUGUAACUAUUUUGAGAUUUUAUUCAGACUGAGCUUAAGUAAAGUUAAUAGAUUAAGGAAAAUACUUGUUAACAAUUCAAUGAGAAAAAGAAAAACUCAAUGUCUUAAGAAUUUUCCUCUGUGGUAUUUUUUUUUUUUUUUUUUUUUUGGAGAUUUUUAUUUUAUUUGAGAGAGCAUGAGAGAGAGCAUGGUGGGGGAGGGUCAGAAGGGGAAGCAGACUCCCCGCUGAUCCCGGGACUCCGGGAUCAUGACCUGAGCUGAAGGCAGUCGCUUAACCAACUGGGCCACCCAGGUGCCCCAUUCUCCAUGGUAUUUAAAUGUCAGUUUUAAAGAGGUUCAAUGAGAAAAUGAUUAUUCAUAAAUUCAAUAACUACCCCAUUGUCAUUCUUGUCUGAAUAGAACAGAUUUUGUCGAUGAAAAGGGCUCAUAGUAUGUUUCUCACAAACCCAAUUCUAGAAAAAAAUUGAACUGUAUCGGUCUACUAACAUUUAAAGAAGGACCUCCAGAAUGGGGAAGCCAUGAAAUCAAUAUUUGUUAGCCAAUAAAGCAUGUAAAUAUUAAAGAACUGCUUUAAGAAGUGAAGAUACAGUAUGUAAAGCAAAAUUAGCAAAAACUGGGAAAUCAGCCAUUGGAGACAAGUAGAAGGUAAAUAAGCAAUUUAUACUUUGUUAGAGUACAGGAAAAGUUUGAUAUUUUCAUUGCAAAGCAUCUACUAGCAGAAUAAAACAAUAAACUUUGAAAUUACUAGGAAAAGGUACUAAGAACCCACAAAGCAAAACAAAAAGGGAACAAAAGCAAGAGGAUUUUAAUGGAAAUUCACAGAAAAUAUUUUCAAGUAGUUUGUGUUUUGGCUCAAACAGUUAUACUUAAGUUUUAUAACCUGCAAACUUUAUUUGUAGCCAUUGGAAAUGAGGCAGGUAGUGGUUUGGCCAUGUUCAAAGGUAAGUCCUGGCCCUUAAGUGCUCUGGCCCGGCAAUAACAUCUAUUAUAUGUGUGCUCCUUGAAAACAAGCAGAUUCUAUUUUGUAUUUCCCAAAAUGAAUGCAAAAUAGGCAUUCGGUAAGUAUCUGUUGAAAGAAUCGAAGAUUACUUCCAAAUAUUAUUUUACAAUUAGGGUAUUUUCUGAUUCACUGCAGUAGAUUUCCACACCAUCCUUAAAUUCCUCAUCUGAUGUCAAAUUUUGUCCAGAGUCUGAAGAUUAUGCUUACUUUGAUGUAAAGGGUAGAAAGACAGUCUGCAUAUGGCAGCGGGGAGGGGCACUGUAUGUAAAGGAAAAGUUAUCUGUGCGCAUCUACAUGUGAUGUGUAAGCUGACAGGGUGGCUGAAUGGAGUGCAAUCGUUAGCUGGUGGCUUCUGGGAGCUUUACUAGUGGGUCAUAAUGUGACAGGGUUCCGAGCAGAGUUCAAGCAGAAGUAACUCACGCCUGGUUUUCCUGCUUUGUCAUUGAGGCAGUGGGAAAUGGGUCCAUGACAUCAGGACCACUCUUUCUUCUUUACUUUUGGCUACUGCCGUACUCCACCAGAUCAUGUAGUCCUUGGGAAGUAAGCUGCUUAAAGAACUGACAAGUAUUUGUGAAAGUAUAUAUUCAUAACCCUAUCCUACAGGCUAUGUGUCUUCAAGAAGAUUGUCAGUGAUUCUGAGAUAAAUCUCACAUGUGUAAAUCAGAAUUAAUAAAAUGAAGAGGUAACUGAUACUAAAUAAAAGGCUGAGAAAGUAAGUGCUACCUGAGCUCAGAGCGGCAGUGAGUGAUACUGUGUGUGCAUUUGGCACACGUUCUAUCACAUGGGUAAUUAGAAGGGCAGAUCUAAUUUAGUGGACAUAAAUACGGCAAUCCAGUGUUUUACUGGUUUGGUCAUGGGAUGUUGCUCCCUGUUUAAUAUGAAGAAUCUAGUAUUUUACAAAUUUCUCCAGCCAAAGAUGGAAUGUGCAGUUUAGUACCCAGUGAAACCAUUUAGUCAUAAUUGAUUGAUAUUACUGUCAGAGAAUAAAUCUCUGGUUUUCUUGCUUACACAGAAUUUGAGACCUCUCACUACUAGAGAAGUGCUUUACCCUCUUGAAACGGUGAUGGAAUAUUAAAAUAUCAAAGACCCAAAACACACAUUUUUAUUCAUUUUAAAGCCUCAUCCAGCCCUGCUGAUAUUUAGAGCCUGCUGUAAUAUUUUAAUCUUAGGUCUGUCUCCAAAAGGAUGCCAUCCAAAAGUAAUUUUCAUUUUUUGUAUAAGGUUAUUACUUUGUAUUCAUUUGAUUUAUUGAAAAGAAAUUAAGGGACAGUAAUAUAUUUAUACAGUCAUGUAAUUCGACUUUAAAUUAGAGGUUCCAUACACAUUUCCAGUUCUGGAUGAUGAUACAUCUGAAGUAAGGAAGCACUGAUGAACCUUAAAAAUAGCAGGAAAAGAUUAAAGUCAUAGAUAAUUUAGUGAGGUUACAUUGCAGAAAUUAAAUAAGCAUGUUAUAUAAUGCCAUUAUUUUAAAUAGCUGAGAAUGCCUUAGUCUUGAUCUUUGCACACUUUUUUAAAAAUACAAUGAUAAAGACAGCAUGUGCUACUAAAACUCUGAAGAUAAUUUUGAGAUCAGUGAUUGAUUUUUACACGUUACCCAUGUUUUAUUAAGGGCUGCUGACGCUGCUUUGUCUUAAACUCAUCAAAUAAUUGGGCCAAAUUUGAGAAAAUCAAUUUCUACUAAAUAGUUAACCAUAAGGUAUAUUUGUGUUAGCAAACAAAAUGCUUUCAAAAUGUCCCACUUUUGAAACUGUUUGAGUUUUUUAUGUUGACCCAGUAACUGUUUGCAAAGGUAAACCCAAGUGGAGUUAAGCAAUUGCCUGGCGAAUUUGAUCACGGCGACGACCAUAGAGGGUAAGAUGAAUAAACUGAGUUUUAGAAAAUUUACUUCAUGACUGCAGACUUUAACGCAUCCUAGAUCUUUAGGAGGUUUUGUUUCAGGACUAUGCAUUCUUUUCUCCUCUUUCUUCUUCCCUCCCAUCCUCUUUCUCUUCCUCCCCUUUCUUUUUCUCUCCUCCCCUUUUUUCUCUCUCCUUCUCCUUGCCUUCCUUCCCUUCUGUUUUCCUCCCUCCCUUUUCAUCUAUUUAUCAUUUAUCAAUCAUCAGUGAUAAUGCACAUGGUUAAGGGUUUUGUCUAGUAAUCAUUAACCCAUCCUUACAAAAUGUUAAGUAUUUGUGGAGCUAUCAAGGUAAACAAUACAUUUUUAGUUUCAGUUGGAUGUUUUACAUUCAUAUGGAAAACUCAGAGGUAAAAGUAUUAUUUAAAACAGUAGUAUAUUUUGAAACAUGACAAAGACCAAGAUUAUUUUCUACCAGAUUCAUUAACUUACUUCACCUGAAUUAACUGGCUGUUUGUUGAACCAUCUCCUAUUUCCUAGCCAUUUAAACUUCAAAGUUCCUGGAGUUUGCAUGGUGUCUAAUCUGUCUGGAUGCCAUCUUUAUCUGAGAUUAAAUAGAGGUCUUUCCAAGAUUUUUUUUAAUCUCAUGAACCCAUGCCCAAGUAACAGUUUAAAAGAUUGCAUAAUGAUGUCAAAGAAAAUCUUGUAUGUCAAGACCAGGAAAGAUCCCUGGAAUGUGGACAGCUAGGGUUGAAGGGAGCAAGGAGGACAGAAACACCAUGGCUCACUCCUGUUUUUCACAGACAUUGGGCACAGGUAGGAGGUGACAGAAAUCCCAGUUGUAUUGGGAAUUUGACAGCCAGGCUUGCCACCUCACUCAGGUGACAGGCCUGAGAAAGUCUCACCAGAUUUCUUGCCACUCCUUGUGGCAUGACAGGGACAGAAUAAUUGCUGUGCAUUUGAGGCAUGAGAGUGUCCGAAGGAUCCUGCUCGCCUGAAUGAGUGUCCUGCUUGAAAAGGCCUUCAGUCAUGAAUAAGAGACAGCCCCGCAGUGGCAGACGUGGCCUCCUAUCCAGAAAUCAGUGUGGAAAAACCUCGCCCUAGCCUGAACUUGUGCAUGUUCUUGCUACAUGUGUAUAUGGGAUUAGAGCCAGAAAAUAUUAAGAAAGCAUUAUUGGAAAAUUUUGGUUUGGAAUCAUUUACUAGAGCAAGUGGAUUAGAAAAAAGGAGUUGGUAGUGACAGGAGGAGUGAGGUGGGAGUUGCGGUCGCCACAGACUCUCACCUCUGAACCCAGGAUACCAGUGAGAGUAGGGCAUGGCCUGUCCUCGCUGAUGGGAAAGGGUGGUCGCUGCUGCAAAAAACACAAGGACCCGUAUGCCUCCUCAUUCUCUAAAUCUUGCCUCCACAGCAGGGGAAUUACAGCCGCCCCAUUCCUACUCUAUGUAGUUUCUUUGCCGAAAACGGUCUAGUAAUAAUCAGGCUCCCUGCUGCAGAACUGCAGAGGGCAGCACCGAGCGCCUCAUUCCCUUAUGCGGAACUUGGAAGAAUUACUUUGUAUAACCUUAAAAUGUAUGUGGCGUGGCUUGAGUAGUUUUGCUGGAGACAAUUUAUUUAGCUCUUCAUUCUUCAGAGCGGACCUGUGAAUGUCCUUAUGUCUAGUGAAAGAUCGUAGUAGCCAACAAGUACCUUGUGUCGGGCACUGGUUAUUUCUUUCAUCCUAACAAUAAUGACACUGUGAGAUAACCUAUCAUUACUGUUCCCAUUUUACAGAUGAAGAAACUGGGGCAGGGAAGCUGUACAGCUGACCCCAUUCACAAAGCUGAUAAGUGGAGGAGCCAGCACUUAAAUCUAGGCAGUCUGGUUCUAGAACCAGUUCUCGUAACUGUUGUACUGCCUUUCAGACCAAUUUAUACAUUAUGACAAUUAUGCUAACAAAAUUUAAGGAAAUAGCAAAAUAUUAAUUUGCCUAUUGCUGAACAGAAAAAUUUAAGGCAGUUUUAAUAUUCUAGAGAAAAUAUAUUACUAAAAUAAUUCAAAAAGCACAGAUAUUGUUAAUAGAUCAAUAACCAAGAAAUACUUUAAAAUGUGACUAAAUAAAUUCCCAUCAAAAACUUUGAGCCUAGAGAAUUUGGGGUAUUGAGUUAUUUUAAAUUUCUGAGGAUGAGCCAGUUCCAGUGUUGUUACAAAACACUGAAAGAACAGAGGGCAAAUUAAAAGGCUUCUAAUGCAUUUCUUCAAGUUAGCACUAAAAUCUGAGAAAAAUACUAAAUAGAGGAUAAUCUCAUGACAGAUGCAAAAUAACUACAUAAAUAUAAUACAAAUAACACUGUAACAAAUUUAAUAGUAUAUUAAAAUAGUUGUUGUCACCACUAUGACUUAGCUUUGCUUUGGUAGUAUUUAAUAAACUCAAUGAAAUAGAACACAGAAGUAAUUGGCCUAACUAUUGGAAAAGUGGAGGCAAAAUUAUCAUUAUCAGCAUUCAAAAUGAUUGUCUUCCAUGGAAACCCAAAGAAAAUCAGUAGAAAAAUUACUAGGACUAAUAAAGAGACUUCAAUCAGGUAAUUUAACUUAAAAAGCUAAUAGUUUUCCUUAGGUAGUAGCAUAUUCAUGUUACAAGAAAAUUGUUAAAGACAAAAUACCUAGAAAAAAGUCUUGAGACCUGGAGAGUGAAAGGUAGAAAAAUUUAAACUUCACCGUGAUUCAUAAAAAGUUGUAUAAACAGAGCUAGCCAGGUUUCUGUAUGAGAAAAACAGCAAUAUAUCAGUCUUCCUGUACUGUAUCAUUGAGCCAACACUGCUCCAAUAAAAACUCAGUGGAAUUUACUUUUGGACCCGGCAAAAAUAAUUCCAGUAUCCAUCUGGAAGAACAAACAGGUGCGAAGAUGGGAAGAAGGUGAACAACAUGGGAAAUAUAUGAGGCACUAAAUGUUUCAUGAAGUUAGACUAUUAAAAUAAGAAACACUGGCGAUAAUCAAGGUAAAUCAGUGGAACAAAAUAAAUAGGCCUCCAACCCAAAAAUAUAUAGUUAAGAAAAUGCCAGAACCAAAAUUAAAAUACAAGCCCUACACCAAAAAGUGUUUGAAACAAAAAAAGGGAAAUGAAAUAAUGAUAAUAAAAAUGAAAUAGAGUUACUGUUCUUAAUAUAAAAAGUAAUCAUAGUAAAAGACAUCACAAAAUUCUCUAAGAAAUGAACAGGCGAAAGAUGGGCAUUGGUAAUUUGGGGAAAAUGAGAAGCAGAUAGCAAAUGAAUACAGUGUAUGCUGGUUGGGAGAAAUGGCAGAAUUAGUGUAAGACGUGGGCAGUACUGGGGCUCAUUUCUGUGCCACAACACCCAGGCAUUUUUACUUGGUGGUGAAGGGAAUAUUUUCAGAAAAUUCUUAAUAUACAUUGCUACAUUUUCUAUUUUAUGACAUAGAGACUGUUUAUUUCACCCCCAAAUCUGUUUUCCCAUCCCCCAUCUAGGACCAGGAUCAGCAGAGUUUUACCUGGCACAUGACUGCCCAGCUGGAGACUAUUGGCUCCUGUGCAAUGGGAGUGGCCAAGUGACAAAGUUCUUGCCAACGAUAGAGCUUCAGAACCACUGCUAGCAAAAAGAGAUCUGUUAAAAAUAGAGACUUACUCCCCAAACCCCUUUCAGGUAAGACUGAGGUGGACAUGCAGCCCGUGGCUGCAGGACUGACAGAGGAAUAAAACUCAGGAGGGUGGGCCUUGCUGUUCCUGGCCUCAAGACAUGGUGUAAGGCGUGGGACCAUUUGUUGUUACACUCUUGUUCUUUUUCCAAAUGUGGGAAUUCUGCCUGUCUUCAUUGUCGUAAACUGAUAUUUUGGGGUAUGGAAGAGUGUGUUUUCCAAAGAUGAUCACAAUAAUAUGUAUCCCAUCCUUCAAGCUUUUAUUAUGGUGCAAUGUUGACACAUAUUCAUUGAGAUGGCAGGGGGUCUGUGUUUUUUCUCUUUGGAUCUGGGAGAGCCUGUGACCGUGAAAAAAGUGACACUGUGACUUUUGAGGCUGCACAUAAAAAGAAUACAGUUACUGCCUGAACCACUUGAUACUCACCCUUGGAACCAAAUCACCAUACUUUGAGGAAGCUAAGUACCCUUAUGAGAAUCUGUGUAUCUGUAUCCCGGCCACCGUCUCAGCUGAGAGUCAAUAUCAACCAAAUGUUGGUGACUGAGUCCUCAGAUGAUGCCAGUCAUCAGCCUUCAAGCCUUUUUAGCUUGAAAGGAGUAGAGAUGACAUGCCCCCACCAAGCCCUUCCCAAAUUGCAGGCCUAUGAACAAAAUAAAUAUCAUUGUUUUAAACCAUGAAGUUUUGGAGUGGUUUUGUGACUCAACAAUAGAUAACCAGUACAUAGAGUGAUUAAACCUAUAAUUUAGUCAAAUGUUGCCAGACAUGACAAAGCACCUUGGACUAAGAAGAGUAUGCUUAAGAGCUCCUAGACAUACCAUUUACACAGUAGCUGGAUUUGAUUUUUUGUUCUCUGCCUCUGGGGAAGUGUAAGUGCAUUUUCGGUUGUAAGUGGGAUAAUUGUAUUUACUAUAUGAGGCAGAGGAAAUGUGGGAAUUGUUUGUGCAUGUCUAAUAUGAUGUUAUAACUGGAUCUUUCCUGUCUCUAUUUUGACAGAGGCACCAGUGAUCAACAUCAGAUUACCUAAAUGACAGUCUCCAACUUCAUACUGAUUUAUUCAACAUAGAAUGCCUAUUACAUGCCACUUGUUAUUCUGGGUGCUGGGGAUGAAGCAGUGAACGAAGCAGUUAAAAUUUUCUGCCCACAUGAAGCUUACAUAUGCAGAAUUAGAAAGGAACCAUCUCUAAAAACCUGUUCCUUAAGGAAUAUAAAAAGGAGUCAGGGUGUAGUAAAGAGGAAUUUGGUCAAGAGAUUUUAUUGGAGAGAGUUGUUGACGUGUGUUAAUCAGGAGAGGCUAAGUUAUGUUAGGAUGUUAGGAUGACGACUACUCAGAGAUGAACCAGAGGUGGGAUAUGUGUAGGAUGUCAUGAAUCUUGUCCAAUGAGGGCCAGUAAAUCUCAGCAGAGAAAGAAUGAAGAUGAAUGUACAUAGGCCUAAGGGUGUAGAACAAAAUGGUAGAAGAUCAUCUGGAAGAGUCAUCUGCCUGACUGGAUCAAGGGCAGUGUAAGAGAGAGAUAGUGUGUUAAGGAAUCUCUGAAGAGAGAAAGGGCAGGAUCAGAGAACACAAAGGAUGCACCCCUGUUCCCUCUACCUCCCUCCUUCCUUCCCCAUGGCAUGCCUCCAGAGAGAGCAGAUCCAAGCUUGGGAAGAAAAGAAUGUUCAAUGCUAUAUCAAGCUUAAGAUUUGGCUUAAUAUUUUGUACUGGGUGUCUAAUUUUUAAAUUGAAAUUGUGUUUACUAACAAUAACUGAAGAACUUUUAAUUUUUGCAAGUGAGUGACAACAAAAAUUAUGGACCUGUCCAAUAGUCUUUCAAGGUAAGGGAAGAUUACCUGAACUGAGUAAGUUUUGAAGCCAAAGUAAGGGACAAAACUUAAUUGUCACUGUGAUCACAAUCCUUAUGUCAUGCUUGUUCAACACACCCAGUUUACACCUAUGGGGUAAAGGGCAUGUUUUUCCUAGGUGGACAAUGGAUAGCUCUCCACUUCUACUGCUCUAUUACUGGUAAGAGAAUUCCAUUUCCUUAUGGGGAGUGAGUUAAAUGAGGAUCAUUCCACCUAUCUGUAAUCAUAAAAGUGGACACCUGUCCCAGCCUCAGUGAGAAUGAUAAGUAGCGCAUUUGAUCGAAUAACUUCAGGGAGGGUAAGGGCUGCAGCUUUCUGUUGGGAUUACUAAUCUGUGGGUGGCCAUUUUUUCCACAAUGUGGAAAGAGAGAGAGAGUGAGAACAAAUGAGCACAAGCCUACUUCACUAUAUCAUUUUGAUCCCAGACCCAGCUUUACCAUGAAAUAUCUCACUUAUUAAAGCAACUAAACUUCAGUUUUUACUUAAACUAGUUUGAGUUGUCUCUUGCAACAUAGUUUUGAACAACUCCUGUACUAUAUUUGAAGAGGAACCAAUAUAUAUGCCUCAUCAUUUGUAGUAUGUCUAUAAAACAAUGCUUCUUAGUCUUUAUGGGUCUUGGGUCCUUUAAAAUCUAAUGAAAUCCAAGGACCCCCCAUUUUUACACAUUAGCACAAUUAACUAUAGUAGAAUUUGAUUUUCUUCAUAUAGAUGACAAAGCAACAUGUCUAAAGAAUUCUAUCUUCCUAACAUUUUUUCAAAUAUUGAAAAUGAAAAAAAAAUAAGUUAAAAUGUAAAUUCAAGGAGAAGGAUACACUGCUUGGCUAGAAUGCAAAAUUGACACAGUGGAAUGGUUUUUGAUUCAUUCUUCUUUGGCAAGUCAGGAAUACUUGCUGCUCUCUACCUAUGAACAUGCAGAAGACAUCUUCAGUGUGGCUUGUGGUGCUUUUAGGUGUCUACAGAUUUCUGUUUAGAGUGAAAAUUUCGGAACUCUGUUAUUUUCAUCCGUAGCCUGAAGAAUUUUCUCCAGCACUAGACCAUCCUACAAGGUUGUCUGCUUUCAGUAUCUCUUUCCAGAGUGACAAUGUGUACCUAACAAUAAGUGUUUUUUUGUUUUCUUUUUUUGUUUUUUUGUUUUUCCCAUCAGUAUCUACAAUGUCAUGUCAAGGCCUCCAAUCAAACAAUUUACCUUAUUCAUGUGGCUGAAAAUAUCUGUCAAAUGACCAAUUCAUGAGUCAACUCUUCCCUGUCAAACUGAGCUGGAAUUUGGAUGUCACCAAAUUUCUAAGGUUCAUUUUGCUAUAGGAAAUAAGAUGAGUGUUUGGCAGUUAUUAUAUUCAUAUGUGGAUGACACCGGAGAUUUUCAGGGUUCUCUUUGACUACAGGCAUCACAGGUAAGAACCAUGGCCUACCCUUCUUUGUAGAAGACUCCCCAGAGCUGUGGUGAUAUCCUUGCUCGGCUUGUUAAACACCCAAUAAAGACAAACCGGAUGGACCGAGAUUCCACGGUUGUACCUACGCCCUAUGGUUGCAUAUUUGAAGGUUUAAGUUUGCUAAAUUGAUUGUUUUGCCUCUGUUAUUUAGCCUCAGGCAGAAGACAUGGACCUCCUUAUUCAUCAGGCCAAGCAAGCCUGGAAAAUUUUCCACCAAACCAGCCAGGAGACUCUGGGACACUGGUGGGAGCCAAGAGGGUCCAUCAGGCCUCAGUGGCCGUAGAGCGAGGCCAUCUGGUCCUAAAUGAAGCACCCACCGGCACUUGGGAAACUGAUAGUAGCCAAAACUUUCAUUAGCAACACUUCUGCAUGCAAAAAGUCCCUGCAGAACCAUAGUAUUCAUACUAUUCCAUCGUUACAGAUAACUUUUUAAAAUCAUAAAAAUAUUCUCAAACUCAUUAGCAUGUUUUCAAAAAUACAUAUAAGCUGCUUUAUUUUGUUAUGGGAAAUAUUUAUUGUUAUUUUCUGAUUUCUGCCAAUUAAAAUUUUCAAACAGCAUUAUUAUACGUGACUCCUCAAUGUUUAUUUGAAAUCUUUUCAUCUGCAUGCAGUUUUCUAUAUACUUUCAGUAUUUUUUUCUUGAACGAUUGCCAUUUAUUUUCCCAUAGAAUUUACUGAAAUGUGAGCCCCUAUAUUUUUGCUGGAUGAACAAACCACAUCAGUUUAAAAUAGAGAUCAUGCAUAUUGCCUAUAUAUGAUUUAAAACACUUUUUCCUCCACAGACUUGUGUUUGUCACACGUUCACUUCUCGUUCUGGGAAGGUCUGAGGCAGCUGGGUGUUGCCACUUUUGAACAGUUGGUGGCUCUAGUGCUUUGCAACCGUCUUGUGAGUCCAGAGGCCCCAAACAAAGCUGCUGUUAUCAUCUGGAUUGUGAAGAGCAUGGCCUCUCGAGUCAAACCCACUGAUUUGAGUCCUGGCUCCACCACUAAUUGGUCGGGUGAUCUCGGGCCAAUUAUAUAUCCUUGUGCUUUAGUUGACAUCUAAAAACUGCAGAAAAUUAUAAUACCUGCCUCAUGAAUUCUGGUGAAGAUUGGCAAGAUAUGUUAAUACCAGACGUCUAACACACCAUAAACAUGAACUUGCAUAUGUCUUAGCUCAAUACUUCGAUCCUGUAAAACAUAUUGGUAUUCUCUUAUCAAUCCUACAAUAUUUAAUAACAUAAAAUAACUUGACACUAGACCUUUAUUUAUUUUUUAGUGUAGAGUGAGAAAUUUCAUUGGAAGAUGCCUCCUAUUGACACAAUUAAGUCAAUAAAAUAAGGGUCUAGGUUAGUUUUUAUCAGAUAGGAUCUUCUGAAUAUUUCACAAGGGAAGUGCCAAGCAAGCACAGUGACUGAGGUUCAUGGCCCUGAACAGCAUUUUGGAACAUAUGGCUUCAACCCAAAUACAAGAUUUUCUCAUUUCUCCCCUGUGCUGCUUAUUCCUUAUUAUAUAGGAUCGAUUCUGUUGCUAAAGAAUGCAAAAACUCAUCUUUUCAAGUGCAAUUCUUCUGUACAUCCACACAGCAUAUCUACCGUGUAAUUAUGGCGUGUUAGGUAUACAGUUGUUACAUCGGUAUUACUUAGAGAAAAUGAAGCAUUUAAAAUGUUUGAGGACAGUAGAUUGGUUCUGGGUCUUGGUGAAUAAACUUGACUUGCUACUUAAACACAGAGAAAUGAAAUAUGCUUUUCAAAGUAGUCAAGAAUGUUUAUUACUUCCUCAACUGGAGAUUGAAGUUAAAAAAAAUUUAGAACACCCAAAAAAAAAGAAGUCAUCUCUGCCAUCUGCUAUAGUCUAAUCCAGGAAUAAUGAUCUAGGGAGGACUAGGAAACAAAAGCCAGUAAAUUGGUAACAAUUCCAAAAACACCUACUAGAAAAAUAUUUGUGCAAUGGUUAGUAUCUUAGAUUUUUCAAUUGAUAAGUAUUUACCAUCUGCGGCCACAACUGUUAGGUCUAUUUCUGGACAGUAAGAAUGUGGAGUAAGUCAGGAACUAGAAACAUAAAAGAUAUCAUGUGGAAUAACUUAAGAUGAAAUUGUACAGUCAGAAUAUGCUGUAUUUGUAUUUUAAUUCUCUCUCCUUAAAAUAUUCAUGAAUAGAUUAUAUCUCCACAGUCAAUAAAUACUUAUUGUGUGCCUGAUAUGUAGGUCUUUUAACUAACUUUAUUUUCUUACUAUAUGUUUGGAUCUCUUUUAUAGUUAACUACCAUGUUCUUUGAAGGGACUGACUUUCACAAUGUAGCUCACAGAGGUCUCUGCAGAACGGAUAGGCUAUGGGAAGUCACAGCUUGUUUUAGGCUGAAGGUGGUAAGAAUGAUGAAGAGUAAAUCCCAGAAAAUUUCCGAAUGGAGAAUUGAUGAUAUAAUGAUUGAUUACACACAUGCAUGUGGAUGCUAAAAGAGAAAGGAAUCUCAAUGACAUAAUCCAAUAAGAUGAUAGUGAUUCAGUCUGAAAUGUUGUGAUGAAAGGUAGUAAAACUGGGGUCCUUGGAUAAAAUGGUUUUCUUUUUCUUAAUGAUGACAGAUUAUUAUUUGGAGGAGUGGAAAGCUGAUGGAUUCAGUUCUUGUAGAGGUUUCUAGGGAAGUGAAGCAGGCAGGCAGUUAAGGAUGAGCAGACAUAUUGUAAGCAGAAAACAGAGCCAAGACAUUGUUUGAUGGCAAACAUUUUGUUAUGAGCCAUAAAUAGUUGGCUAUAGAGCUCCUCGCAACAGAACUCCAUGGCCUGCAAGGGCAGACAAAUUCUGUGUGCAUAUUAAAAGUUUAUUUGAUCCAUGUUUUCUGCUUCUAAUUAAAAUCUCAUGGUAAGAAAAAAAGUUUUAACUUUAACCAUAAAUGUCUAGAUGCUUUUACUGGGCAGACACUGCUGCAAUUUUUACUUUGAGUUUUGCAGAUUAACCAGAGAGGUAAAUAAGAGUGAAAAUAUUAAAGUGAGUUUUCUUUGAUGAAAUUUAAAAAAAUUACCAGAUACACUCCUUUAUCCAGGGCAUCAGUAGUUGUGAGAAUCGGAAAUGUAAAAAAGAGGAAGCCCUAGACUUCCGUGGCCCAAGUUGAUUCUCUUUCUUUAUGCUUCAGUGAAAAUUAGCUAAAACCAACAAAUAAUCUCAGCUUUCCAUAUUUCUACUUCUGUUUUACUUAAUUUCUUUAAGACUGUGUGUGUAUGUUGUUGUGUAAGUAAGUGUGUGUUUCCCUGUCAAAUGUUUCUCUCUUAAGUGAUCCUCAGCUACAGCAGCUCGAGUUUCCAAUGCGUGUUAGCAGGACUUAAAACAAAAUACUCAUUUUUAAACUUUCUGACUCAUAUUCUAAACCAGUCACAUUCCCCUUGUACUAAACGCUUCGAGGAUACAAAAGUGAACUCUUAUUGAUUCUGUACAUAAGGACUGCACUGUAGAGGAGGUGAUAAAUCCCACUAUCACCAAUAGCUAGCUGAUACGUGCUACACAAGAGGAGCAAAUGAUGUGAUGUGAGAAUCGAGGCAGGGCUCAUUGCUUCCAGACAAGGUAGACUGGUUUCAUGAUCAAUGAGUAUAAUCUGAGACAUGUUUAGGACCUGGGAAUACAGGUCUGGGAACCAAGAGCUUAGUCAAAGACACAAAGGUGGGAAAAGGAAGUGAUUCCUUUUCCCUUGAAUGAAGUACCUACAAAAGGGAACAGUGGAAACAACUCUGAAGAGGUAGGUUGGGAGUCAGCUCAAGAAGGUCUGGGAGGUUACGUAAUGGACAAGUGUGUCACCGAGGCAUCUUAUGAGCAGAGUGAGUGUUGGGGCAAUGGUCAAGAGCACAGGCAGAUCAGACAGUCCUGUGUUCCAGAUCUGGUUCUUCCGCUCACUGGCUUGGUCACCUCAUCAAGUUACUUAACCUCUCUGAGCCUUGAUUAUUUGCAUCUGGAAUUAUAAUUGUACCUAUAGGCUAUAAUGUGGAUUAAAUUAAAAAUGAGGUUAAACACCCAGCCCCUGACAUAUAGUAGGUGAUAAAAAAAAAAAAGUUACUGCUAAUAGUAAUGCUAUUAAUUAUAAUAAUAAGAUAGUCUUGGCUUUUGCAUUAUGUGAAAUUAUUUUAAUUCCUGAAGUACCCAAGUCAGAGGCAAAACCACUCACUGCCAUUCUAUUGCAGAGCUAGGCUUAUUUUCUAUUUUAUUACUAAGAUUGCCAGUUUUGUUUUGAUCUAUAUAUAUUUUGGUGCUGCGUUUAUAUACUU